rnacentral:rRNA from 1 species
AAUAGAUACCCGGGUAGUCCACGCCGUAAACGAUGAGUGCUAAGUGUUAGAGGGUUUCCGCCCUUUAGUGCUGCAGCUAACGCAUUAAGCACUCCGCCUGGGGAGUACGGUCGCAAGACUGAAACUCAAAGGAAUUGACGGGGGCCCGCACAAGCGGUGGAGCAUGUGGUUUAAUUCGAAGCAACGCGAAGAACCUUACCAGGUCUUGACAUCCUCUGACAACUCUAGAGAUAGAGCGUUCCCCUUCGGGGGACAGAGUGACAGGUGGUGCAUGGUUGUCGUCAGCUCGUGUCGUGAGAUGUUGGGUUAAGUCCCGCAACGAGCGCAACCCUUGAUCUUAGUUGCCAGCAUUAAGUUGGGCACUCUAAGGUGACUGCCGGUGACAAACCGGAGGAAGGUGGGGAUGACGUCAAAUCAUCAUGCCCCUUAUGACCUGGGCUACACACGUGCUACAAUGGAUGGUACAAAGGGCUGCAAGACCGCGAGGUCAAGCCAAUCCCAUAAAACCAUUCUCAGUUCGGA